rnacentral:rRNA from 1 species
AGUGGCGGACGGGUGAGUAACACGUGAGAAUCUGGCUUCAGGAUGGGGACAACAGUUGGAAACGACUGCUAAUACCCGAUAUGCCGAAAGGUGAAAGAUUUAUCGCCUGAAGAUGAGCUCGCGGCUGAUUAGCUAGUUGGUGGGGUAAGAGCCUACCAAGGCGACGAUCAGUAGCUGUUCUGAGAGGAAGAUCAGCCACACUGGGACUGAGACACGGCCCAGACUCCUACGGGAGGCAGCAGUGGGGAAUUUUCCGCAAUGGGCGAAAGCCUGACGGAGCAAUACCGCGUGCGGGAGGAAGGCCCUUGGGUCGUAAACCGCUUUUCUUAGGGAAGAAACCUGACGGUACCUAAGGAAUAAGCCUCGGCUAACUCCGUGCCAGCAGCCGCGGUAAUACGGAGGAGGCAAGCGUUAUCCGGAAUUAUUGGGCGUAAAGAGUCCGUAGGUGGUUCAUCAAGUCUGCUGUUAAAGCGUGCAGCUCAACUGCAUAUAGGCAGUGGAAACUGUUGAACUAGAGUAUGGUAGGGGUAGGGGGAAUUCCCAGUGUAGCGGUGAAAUGCGUAGAGAUUGGGAAGAACACCGGUGGCGAAAGCGCCCUACUGGGCCAUAACUGACACUGAGGGACGAAAGCUAGGGUAGCGAAUGGGAUUAGAUACCCC